rnacentral:rRNA from 1 species
AUUGAACGCUGGCGGCAUGCUUUACACAUGCAAGUCGAACGGCAGCGCGGGCUUCGGCCUGGCGGCGGGUGGGGAACGGGUGAGUAAUGCAUCGGAACGUGGCCAGGAGUGGGGGAUAGCCCGGCGAAAGCCGGAUUAAUACCGCAUACGACCUGAGGGGGAAAGCGGGGGGCCGAAAGGGCUCGCGCCUUUGGAGCGGGCGAUGUCGGGUUUGCUAGUUGGUGGGGUAAAGGCUUACCAAGGCGACGAUCCGUAGCUGGUCUGAGAGGACGACCAGCCACACUGGGACUGAGACACGGCCCAGACUCCUACGGGAGGCAGCAGUGGGGAAUUUUGGACAAUGGGGGCAACCCUGAUCCAGCCAUGCCGCGUGCGGGAAGAAGGCCUUCGGGUUGUAAACCGCUUUUGUUCGGGAAGAAAUCCUCUGGGCUAAUACCCCGGGGGGAUGACGGUACCGGAAGAAUAAGCACCGGCUAACUACGUG